rnacentral:ncRNA from 1 species
CUUAUCAAGAGUGACGGAGGGAACAGACCCUAUGAUGUCCGGCAACCUGCUUUGCAAGGUGCUAAAUUCUGCGGUAAAAACCGAUAGAUGAGG